rnacentral:rRNA from 1 species
CCUACGGGUGGCAGCAGUGGGGGAUAUUGCACAAUGGGGGAAACCCUGAUGCAGCGACGCCGCGUGGGUGAAGAAGCGCCUCGGCGCGUAAAGCCCUGUCAGCAGGGAAGAAAAUGACGGUACCUGAAGAAGAAGCCCCGGCUAACUACGUGCCAGCAGCCGCGGUAAUACGUAGGGGGCAAGCGUUAUCCGGAUUUACUGGGUGUAAAGGGAGCGUAGACGGCUGCGCAAGUCAGAAGUGAAAGCCCGGGGCUCAACCGCGGGACUGCUUUUGAAACUGUGUAGCUAGAGUGCAGGAGAGGUAAGUGGAAUUCCUAGUGUAGCGGUGAAAUGCGUAGAUAUUAGGAGGAACACCGGUGGCGAAGGCGGCUUACUGGACUGUAACUGACGUUGAGGCUCGAAAGCGUGGGGAGCAAACAGGAUUAGAUACCCGAGUAGUC